GGGCCUGCAUAUGAACUUUUGCUUGUUGCUGGUGGAGACCGCUGUUCUUCAUCACAAUCAAAUUAGAGGGUGGAGCAGCAGGUGGAGUCGUAGCAGCAGAUGAAGGUGUCCCUCUCCCUGAAGAUGCCUUCAAUUGAGGAGAUUGAACUCCCCCUUGGGUAGCACUUGCAGGGUACAUCAUAUUCUGAAAGCUCGCCAUGUUCAGACGGUCUGGGUACCCACCUGCAUUAUUUGGUGUACUUGGUGCAGCAGAUCUAGGCCGAUUCAGAUGGUGUUGCUGCUGAAUCAUCUGCUGAUGCUUCUGGUGCAUCUGAAGGAAAUGCUGGUGCUGCUGGUGCUGCUGCUGUUGCUGCUGAGAAAUGGUGGACGAAGCUGCAGCUGGUGCAGAUGCAGCGGUGGAAGAACUUGUGGAUUUACUCCCCAUACCAAAGGUGUUUGGAG
rnacentral:lncRNA from 1 species